rnacentral:rRNA from 1 species
UACGUAGGGGCUAGCGUUGUCCGGAUUUAUUGGGCGUAAAGAGCUCGUAGGUGGUUCGGUAAGUCGGAUGUGAAAUCUCCAGGCUACAACCUGGAGGGUCAUUCGAUACUGCCGUGACUAGAGUUCGGUAGAGGAGUGUGGAAUCUGGUGGAGCGGUGAAAUGCGCAGAGAUCAGGAGGAACACGUACGACGUCGAGCAUCGACGAUGUACAG